AGUCAACACAGUCAGAGUUUUCCCAAAAAGUGCACCCUUAACUUUGAACUCCACAGAGGCCACAUUGUCGAGUAUAACCUCUCCUCUGUCUGUGUCUCUCUCUCUGUACGCUGCUGCUUCAUCGAUGGCGUUUUUGAAACUUUACUCUCUUUACAUUUUCUUUAUCUUCUUGGCCUUAUCUUUCACUGUUUCACUCACUGAGUCCUUGCCUUCUUCAUCUUCUGGUGAUGUUGGACUUCUGCUGGGAAAGAUCAAACCUUCACUGCAAGGUAACGCUGAAAAUCUUUUACUCUCUUCGUGGAACUCCUCUGUUCCUCUUUGCCAAUGGAGAGGUCUCAAAUGGGUCUUCUCCAAUGGUUCCCCUCUCUCUUGCACUGACCUUUCUGCACCAGAAUGGACCAAUCUUUCACUCUACAAAGACCCGUCUUUGCACCUACUUUCUCUCCAGCUUCCAUCUGCUAAUCUCUCAGGUUCACUCCCUAGAGAGCUUGGUGAGUUCUCUGUGCUUCAAAGUUUGUAUCUUAACAUUAAUUCUCUGAGUGGAACCAUCCCUCUUGAGCUUGGUUACAGUUCUUCGCUAUCUGAUAUUGAUUUGAGUGACAAUUUGUUUAGUGGAGUUUUAGCUCCAUCCAUCUGGAAUCUUUGCGAUAGAUUAGUUUCACUUAAGCUUCAUGGUGAUUCACUAUCCGGGUCUCUCCCUGAACCUGCAUUGCCCAACUCUACUUGCGAGAAUCUGCAGUUUCUUGACUUGGGUGGAAACAAGUUUUCAGGGAAUUUCCCUGAAUUUUUGACUCGCUUCCAAGGGCUCAAGGAGCUCGAUCUUUCUAAUAAUAUGUUUUCGGGCUCCAUUCCUCAGAGUUUAAGUGCGUUAAACCUUGAAAAAUUGAAUCUUUCGCACAAUAAUUUUAGUGGGGUGUUGCCUGUUUUUGGUGAAUCAAAGUUUGGUGUGGAGGUUUUUGAAGGGAACGAUCCUAGUCUUUGUGGAUUACCUUUAAGGAGUUGUAGCGGAAAUUCAAGAUUGAGCUCAGGUGCAAUUGCUGGUAUGGUGAUUGGAUUAAUGACUGGUGUUGUAGUUUUGGCCUCUUUAUUAAUAGGCUAUAUGCAAAACAAGAAGAGGAAAAGUGGGGAAGAGAGUGAAGAUGAAUUAGAGGAAGGAGAAGAUGAUGAAAAUGGUGGUAAUGGAGGUUCUGGAGGCAGUGAAGGAAAGCUAAUUUUGUUUCAAGGCGGCGAGCAUUUGACAUUAGAGGAUGUUUUGAAUGCAACAGGGCAAGUAACGGAGAAGACUACUUAUGGGACUGUUUAUAAGGCAAAGCUUGCUGAUGGAGGUACAAUUGCUUUGAGGUUAUUGAGGGAAGGUAGUUGCAAAGAUAGGAGUUCGUGCUUACCAGUGAUAAAGCAAUUGGGAAAGAUUCGACACGAGAACCUGAUUCCUUUGAGAGCUUUCUACCAUGGGAAAAGAGGGGAGAAGCUGCUCAUAUAUGACUAUCUUCCAAAUAGAAACCUUUAUGAUCUUUUACAUGAAACUAAAGCAGGAAAACCAGUGUUGAACUGGGCUAGGCGGCACAAGAUUGCAUUGGGUAUAGCUAGGGGACUAGCAUAUCUUCAUACAGGCCUUGAGACAUCCAUUACCCAUGGAAAUGUGAGAUCCAAAAAUGUGCUUGUGGAUGAAUUUUUUGCUGCCAGGCUUACUGAAUUUGGGCUUGACAAGCUAAUGGUCCCAGCUGUGGCUGAUGAAAUAGUGGCACUUGCAAAAACUGAUGGUUACAAGGCACCAGAGCUUCAGAGGAUGAAGAAAUGCAAUUCCAGAACAGAUGUUUUUGCAUUUGGAAUACUUUUGCUUGAGAUUUUGAUUGGCAGAAAACCUGGGAAAAAUGGGAAAAACAGUGAUUUUGUGGACUUGCCUUCAAUGGUGAAAGUGGCAGUUCUGGAGGAAACAACAAUGGAAGUUUUUGAUGUGGAGCUUUUGAAAGGGAUAAGGAGUCCAAUGGAAGAAGGAUUAGUUCAGGCACUGAAACUUGCAAUGGGAUGCUGCGCUCCAGUGCCUUCAGUUAGACCCACCAUGGAUGAAGUUGUGAAGCAAUUGGAAGAGAACAGACCAAGAAACAGGUCUGCUUUGUACAGUCCUACCGAAACAAGGAGCGAAAUUGGUACCCCUUUCUAAUUAAGCUUUCCUUUUCAUUAUAAAUUAGCUCUUUAUCAGUUGCUCAUUAACUGGGGCAUGGUAGCUGAUGAUUGUAAUGGUAUUUUCUUAUAUUUCUGUAUUAGAGAAUUCAUUUCUUAGUCUCUCUGUGUAAUUCAUUACAAGGUUUCCUACUUCUAGAAAAUAUUAAACAUGCUAAAAUCAUGUAUUCUCAGCUUACCCUCAAAAGGGCUUAAUUUUAAUCUCAUAUUUUCCUGCUA
rnacentral:misc_RNA from 1 species